rnacentral:rRNA from 1 species
UGGGGAAUUUUGCACAAUGGGGGAAACCCUGAUGCAGCGACGCCGCGUGAUUUAGAAGGCCUUCGGGUUGUAAAAAUCUUUUCUAUGGGAAGAAAAUGACAGUACCAUAGGAAUAAGGACCGGCUAAUUACGUGCCAGCAGCCGCGGUAAUACGUAGGUGGCAAGCGUUGUCCGGAAUUAUUGGGCGUAAAGCGCGCGCAGGUGGUUUAGAAAGUCUGAUGUGAAAGCCCACGGCUCAACCGUGGAGGGUCAUUGGAAACUAAUAAACUUGAGUGCAGGAGAGAAAAGUGGAAUUCCUAGUGUAGCGGUGAAAUGCGUAGAGAUUAGGAGGAACACCGGUGGCGAAAGCGGCUUUUUGGCCUGCAACUGACACUGAGGCGCGAAAGCGUGGGGAGCAAACAGG